UAUCGAUCGCGUAAAAGCUAACUCAAAUUUCUAUGGAGCUGGAACGUUUGCUUACGUUUGCCACUAGAGGCGCUGUUCCAAAUCCAUACAAAUUUGAGUUAACUUUUACGCGAUCGA
rnacentral:pre_miRNA from 9 species